CCUACGGGAGGCAGCAGUGAGGAAUAUUGGUCAAUGGACGAGAGUCUGAACCAGCCAAGUAGCGUGAAGGAUGACUGCCCUAUGGGUUGUAAACUUCUUUUAUAAAGGAAUAAAACGUGGCACGUGUGCCUUUUUGCAUGUACUUUAUGAAUAAGGAUCGGCUAACUCCGUGCCAGCAGCCGCGGUAAUACGGAGGAUCCGAGCGUUAUCCGGAUUUAUUGGGUUUAAAGGGAGCGUAGAUGGGUUGUUAAGUCAGUUGUGAAAGUUUGCGGCUCAACCGUAAAAUUGCAAUUGAUACUGGCAGUCUUGAGUACAGUUGAGGUAGGCGGAAUUCGUGGUGUAGCGGUGAAAGGCUUAGAUAUCACGAAGAACCCCGAUUGCGAAGGCAGCUUACUAAACUGUGACUGACAUUGAUGCUCGAAAGUGUGGGUAUCAAACAGGAUUAGAUACCCGAGUAGUC
rnacentral:rRNA from 1 species